rnacentral:rRNA from 1 species
AGAGUUUGAUCAUGGCUCAGGAUGAACGCUGGCGGCGUGCCUAACACAUGCAAGUCGAGCGAGAAAUAACUUCAUGAAUUCUUCGGAACGAUUGAAGUUGUGGAAAGCGGCGGACGGGUGAGUAACGCGUGGGCAACCUGCCCUAUACAGAGGGAUAGCCACUGGAAACGGUGAUUAAUACCUCAUGACACUGCAAUAUCGCAUGAUGAUGCAGUCAAAGAUUUAUCGGUAUAGGAUGGGCCCGCGUCUGAUUAGCUAGUUGGUAAGGUAAUGGCUUACCAAGGCUUCGAUCAGUAGCCGACCUGAGAGGGUGAUCGGCCACACUGGAACUGAGACACGGUCCAGACUCCUACGGGAGGCAGCAGUGGGGAAUAUUGCACAAUGGGGGAAACCCUGAUGCAGCAACGCCGCGUGAGCGAUGAAGGCUUUCGGGUCGUAAAGCUCUGUCCUAAGGGAAGAAUAGAUGACGGUACCUUAGGAGGAAGCCCCGGCUAACUACGUGCCAGCAGCCGCGGUAAUACGUAGGGGGCAAGCGUUAUCCGGAAUCAUUGGGCGUAAAGGGUGCGUAGGCGGCCAGAAAAGUCAGAGGUGAAAGGCUACGGCUUAACCGUAGUAAGCCUUUGAAACUAUUUGGCUUGAGUGCAGGAGAGGAAAGUGGAAUUCCUAGUGUAGCGGUGAAAUGCGUAGAUAUUAGGAGGGACACCAGUGGCGAAGGCGACU